UGUCACAGGCCGGAGCGGACCACCAAUUCAACGGGUCUCGCUCCUCCCUCUAACUUCCACCUCGAGGAGGUCCCACAACACCCCAAUGAAUGGACGGACAACCAAGAUUAAAAUGUAACAAUUUUAUUUGUUUAAAAGUUUGGGGAAAGGGGUAAGGAAACUUUAAAACUAAUGAUGACUCGAACUAUUCUUUAUCCACAAAUACGGAUUCCAGUCUCAAGAACACUCCUCUUCAGCCCUUCCUCGACAACACUCCACUUCAGCCCUUAAUUUCCCGCCGACUCCACUCCAGGUAAGUUUAAAGCAAGAGCUAGGCAGUUGACGUGCAGGGGUUCUAGCUCUCAGGUAAAUACAGUGUUCGAUACACAGGUGGGUAUUCACAGGGCUGGGCUGUUAGCGUGCAGGGGUUCUAGCUCUCAGGUAAGUACAGUGUUCGAUACACAGGUAAGUAUUCACAGGGCUGGGCUGUUAGCGUGCAGGGGUUCUAGCUCUCAGGUAAGUACAGUGUUCGAUACACAGGUAAGUAUUCACAGGGCUGAGCUGUUAGCGUGCAGGGGUUCUAGCUCUCAAUGUAAGUACAGUGUUCCAUACACAGGUGGGUAUUCACAGGGCUGAGCUGUUAAUGCGCUACUCACCACUGAAG